AUACGGAGGACGCGAGCGUUAUCCGGAUUCAUUGGGUUUAAAGGGUGCGCAGGCGGCCGUGCAAGUCAGCGGUGAAAGCCCGGGGCUCAACCCCGGAAGUGCCGUUGAUACUGCAUGGCUGGAAUGCGGUCGAGGCGGGCGGGAAGUGGCGUGUAGCGGGGAAAUGCGUAGAUAUGCCACAGAAAGCCGAUAGCGGAGGCAGCUCGCCAGGCCUGCAUUGACGCUCGGGCACGAAAGCGUGGGGAUCGAACAGGAUUAGAUACCCUGGUAGUCCACGCCGUAAACGAUGGGCGCUCGUCGUCGGCGGCAGACAGUCGGCGGCCAAGCGAAAGCGAUAAGCGCCCCACCUGGGGAGUACGGUCGCAAGGCUGAAACUCAAAUGAAUUGACGGGG
rnacentral:rRNA from 1 species